AGCGUACACGGUGGAUGCCCUGGCAGUCAGAGGCGAUGAAGGACGUGCUAAUCUGCGAUAAGCGUCGGUAAGGUGAUAUGAACCGUUAUAACCGGCGAUUUCCGAAUGGGGAAACCCAGUGUGUUUCGACACACUAUCAUUAACUGAAUCCAUAGGUUAAUGAGGCGAACCGGGGGAACUGAAACAUCUAAGUACCCCGAGGAAAAGAAAUCAACCGAGAUUCCCCCAGUAGCGGCGAGCGAACGGGGAGCAGCCCAGAGCCUGAAUCAGUGUGUGUGUUAGUGGAAGCGUCUGGAAAGGCGCGCGAUACAGGGUGACAGCCCCGUACACAAAAAUGCACAUGCUGUGAGCUCGAUGAGUAGGGCGGGACACGUGGUAUCCUGUCUGAAUAUGGGGGGACCAUCCUCCAAGGCUAAAUACUCCUGACUGACCGAUAGUGAACCAGUACCGUGAGGGAAAGGCGAAAAGAACCCCGGCGAGGGGAGUGAAAAAGAACCUGAAACCGUGUACGUACAAGCAGUGGGAGCCUCUUUAUGGGGUGACUGCGUACCUUUUGUAUAAUGGGUCAGCGACUUAUAUUCUGUAGCAAGGUUAACCGAAUAGGGGAGCCGAAGGGAAACCGAGUCUUAACUGGGCGUUAAGUUGCAGGGUAUAGACCCGAAACCCGGUGAUCUAGCCAUGGGCAGGUUGAAGGUUGGGUAACACUAACUGGAGGACCGAACCGACUAAUGUUGAAAAAUUAGCGGAUGACUUGUGGCUGGGGGUGAAAGGCCAAUCAAACCGGGAGAUAGCUGGUUCUCCCCGAAAGCUAUUUAGGUAGCGCCUCGUGAAUUCAUCUCCGGGGGUAGAGCACUGUUUCGGCAAGGGGGUCAUCCCGACUUACCAACCCGAUGCAAACUGCGAAUACCGGAGAAUGUUAUCACGGGAGACACACGGCGGGUGCUAACGUCCGUCGUGAAGAGGGAAACAACCCAGACCGCCAGCUAAGGUCCCAAAGUCAUGGUUAAGUGGGAAACGAUGUGGGAAGGCCCAGACAGCCAGGAUGUUGGCUUAGAAGCAGCCAUCAUUUAAAGAAAGCGUAAUAGCUCACUGGUCGAGUCGGCCUGCGCGGAAGAUGUAACGGGGCUAAACCAUGCACCGAAGCUGCGGCAGCGACGCUUAUGCGUUGUUGGGUAGGGGAGCGUUCUGUAAGCCUGUGAAGGUGUGCUGUGAGGCAUGCUGGAGGUAUCAGAAGUGCGAAUGCUGACAUAAGUAACGAUAAAGCGGGUGAAAAGCCCGCUCGCCGGAAGACCAAGGGUUCCUGUCCAACGUUAAUCGGGGCAGGGUGAGUCGACCCCUAAGGCGAGGCCGAAAGGCGUAGUCGAUGGGAAACAGGUUAAUAUUCCUGUACUUGGUGUUACUGCGAAGGGGGGACGGAGAAGGCUAUGUUGGCCGGGCGACGGUUGUCCCGGUUUAAGCGUGUAGGCUGGUUUUCCAGGCAAAUCCGGAAAAUCAAGGCUGAGGCGUGAUGACGAGGCACUACGGUGCUGAAGCAACAAAUGCCCUGCUUCCAGGAAAAGCCUCUAAGCAUCAGGUAACAUCAAAUCGUACCCCAAACCGACACAGGUGGUCAGGUAGAGAAUACCAAGGCGCUUGAGAGAACUCGGGUGAAGGAACUAGGCAAAAUGGUGCCGUAACUUCGGGAGAAGGCACGCUGAUAUGUAGGUGAGGUCCCUCGCGGAUGGAGCUGAAAUCAGUCGAAGAUACCAGCUGGCUGCAACUGUUUAUUAAAAACACAGCACUGUGCAAACACGAAAGUGGACGUAUACGGUGUGACGCCUGCCCGGUGCCGGAAGGUUAAUUGAUGGGGUUAGCGGUAACGCGAAGCUCUUGAUCGAAGCCCCGGUAAACGGCGGCCGUAACUAUAACGGUCCUAAGGUAGCGAAAUUCCUUGUCGGGUAAGUUCCGACCUGCACGAAUGGCGUAAUGAUGGCCAGGCUGUCUCCACCCGAGACUCAGUGAAAUUGAACUCGCUGUGAAGAUGCAGUGUACCCGCGGCAAGACGGAAAGACCCCGUGAACCUUUACUAUAGCUUGACACUGAACAUUGAGCCUUGAUGUGUAGGAUAGGUGGGAGGCUUUGAAGUGUGGACGCCAGUCUGCAUGGAGCCGACCUUGAAAUACCACCCUUUAAUGUUUGAUGUUCUAACGUUGACCCGUAAUCCGGGUUGCGGACAGUGUCUGGUGGGUAGUUUGACUGGGGCGGUCUCCUCCUAAAGAGUAACGGAGGAGCACGAAGGUUGGCUAAUCCUGGUCGGACAUCAGGAGGUUAGUGCAAUGGCAUAAGCCAGCUUGACUGCGAGCGUGACGGCGCGAGCAGGUGCGAAAGCAGGUCAUAGUGAUCCGGUGGUUCUGAAUGGAAGGGCCAUCGCUCAACGGAUAAAAGGUACUCCGGGGAUAACAGGCUGAUACCGCCCAAGAGUUCAUAUCGACGGCGGUGUUUGGCACCUCGAUGUCGGCUCAUCACAUCCUGGGGCUGAAGUAGGUCCCAAGGGUAUGGCUGUUCGCCAUUUAAAGUGGUACGCGAGCUGGGUUUAGAACGUCGUGAGACAGUUCGGUCCCUAUCUGCCGUGGGCGCUGGAGAACUGAGGGGGGCUGCUCCUAGUACGAGAGGACCGGAGUGGACGCAUCACUGGUGUUCGGGUUGUCAUGCCAAUGGCACUGCCCGGUAGCUAAAUGCGGAAGAGAUAAGUGCUGAAAGCAUCUAAGCACGAAACUUGCCCCGAGAUGAGUUCU
rnacentral:rRNA from 1 species